rnacentral:rRNA from 1 species
UACGAGGGGUGCAAGCGUUGUUCGGAAUUAUUGGGCGUAAAGGGCAGGUAGGUUGUCUUGUAAGUCUACUGUGAAAUCCCCGGGCUUAACCCGGGACGUGCGGUGGAUACUGCAAGACUAGAGUGCUGGAGGGGUUCGUGGAAUACCCGGUGUAGCGGUGAAAUGCGUAGAUAUCGGGUGGAACACCAGAGGCGAAGGCGGCGAACUUGACAGUAACUGACACUCAACUGCGAAAGCGUGGGGAGCAAAC